GAGAAUAAAUUUUUAUUUUUUAUAUAAAUUUUGAAUUUUUAAUAGAAAUAACUUUUUUUUAAGUAAAUUUUAUUGAAAUAAUAUUUAUUGUGAUAGUAAAUUGUACUGUAAAGGUUUAAAUUGUUUCGUUUAAAAGUAGUUUUUAUUUAAUGUACCUUUUGUAUCAGGGUUAAUUAAUUUAUUAUAUUUAUUAUGUAUUUCCCGAAAUUGGAAGAGUUUUAAUUUAAAUGUUAGUCAAUGUGUCAAAAUUGUUUUUAAUUUAAUUAUAGUAAUGAAAUGUUAUUCGUUUCUAAAUAUCUGGUUUUCUUGG
rnacentral:rRNA from 1 species